UACAGAGGUCUCAAGCGUUUGUUCGGAUUCAUUGGGCGUAAAAGGGUGCGUAGGCGGCGCGGUAAGUCGGGGUGUGAAAUUUCGGAGCUUAACUCCGAAACUGCAUUCGAUACUGCCGUGCUUGAGGACUGGAGAGGAGACUGGAAUUUUACGGUGUAGCAGUGAAAUGCGUAGAGAUCGUAAGGAAGACCAGUGGCGAAGGCGGGGUCUCUGGACAGUUCCUGACGGUGAGGCACGAAGGCCCAGGGGGAGCAAAACGGGGAUUAGAAA
rnacentral:rRNA from 1 species